AUAAGUCAUAACAGACAUGAAAUAUAUGUUUAUGUCAGCUUUAAAAAAUAAUAUGUCGCUUAUAAGUGUUUGGGAAGGGAAUCUUGUAAUAAAGGUCUGUUUGUAAUCGGUUUAGCGUGUUUUUUUCCUUCUUUUUUAGGAUUAGCCUGUUAUUCCUUACUAGUUCUCUUUGAUGUUAGGAAGUCAUAUUCAAAUAAUGGCUAUUUUCCGCGGCUCGUCCUUGUCUCCUCCAGCCUUCUUUCAUGUGAUCUAUUGUGCUAUGCGUGACAGGCUCUUGUCUUUCCCCUCAGCGACUGUGUCUUCUCUGUCUCUGCUUCAGCUAUAUUUUUGGUUCAUCUCUCCUUAUAGUUAAUUGUGUCUUUCUUCUUGUUCUCUCUUGUAAUAAGUGGUUUGCCAAAAACCAUGUAAAAUUCAAAAAAUGGGUAUGAAUCUUAACAUUUACAUCCAAAAAAAUGAUGGCUAUCUAGAUUGUUGACUUUUUUUUAACGAUAUUUAUUAUGAUCUUACAAUUAUGAUAUGAGAAAGACAAUGAAUGGUAGCUAAGGUUUUUGACCAAGAAAAAAAAACUCAGACAACAAAAAUUAAGAAAAUUAUUUUUAAAUUAAUUAACUAAAUUUUUAUUUCUGUUAAUCUACAUUGCAACUAUACACAAAAUGUAUAAUAACAUUUUUUUGAAAAAUUAGUAUUAUAUAUAAUUAGUUUACCGAUUCUUAUUCUUCUCAGAAUUUCUCAGUGCAAAUCUCUUAUCAAAAUUCUCUAACCGGGAUGGACCAUUAAGCGUGGUGCAUUUAAAAUAGAAAAUUUGCUAUGUAUUAUUUUUGGUAAAACAAUUGGUAGGCACGAGCGUUUGAGUGUCCAACCAGUUCAGUUCAGAGUUAAUUCGGAUUCAGAUUUUUUGGGAGCACAAAUUUAGUUUUAUUAGGAUAUUAUAAAAGUUUGGUUCGGGUUUAUUCUGUGUGGUUCGGAUAUAUAUUAACAUAUUAUAACCCGGUUGAACCCGUUUUAAAUUCGAUUUUGGUUAUAAUUUGGGUUUUAAUUAUCCAUAUACUUAUUAUGACUCGAAAAUACAUAUUUAAGUUUUCAUCAAUUUCAACAAUCUAACAAUACUAAAAGUUAAAUAACUAAAGCAGAGAGAGUGUCCACGUAAUCAAAUUAAAUCGACCAAUAGGAAACCGUUAUGUAGCCACGUCAAUAAUUUCCAAGACCGAAGACAGUUAUUUCCCAGUUCUCUGAUUCAACGUGACCCACUUUCAUAAAAACCCAUCACUUGGCCCAACUGCUACGAUAGGGAUCACCGACUCUUCUCUUCACCUUCUUCAAUUCUGUAGUCUCUGCAAAUUGCCAUUAAGUUGAAAUUAAGUCGACCCACUCUUUCACAUUUAAUAAGUUUCAUUACUCCUUACAAAGUCAGAGAUGUUAGCGUUCCCACUCUCAUUGUUCUUUGUUUAUAUAAACUAUACUUCUCUGAAUCUCAUCUACUGUGUAUUCAAAACCCUUUCCUCUUCCUCUCAGCUGAAAUCUAUUCAAUCGCUCACACGCACACACCUUUAGGGUUUCAAUUUCGAUUAAAGUACAAACGGAAACACAUCCUUUGAUUCGUCUUCGGAAUGCUCUGAGAUUGUCGUCCAAGUUGUAGAUCUCAAGCCUAUCAGCAAUCGAUAUACGUAAGUUUCGAACUUUUGACUAUACAUCAGUGUUCAUCCUCCACUGACACCAUCUCUGAGUUCACUAAUUUCAUCAAUAAAUUGGAUUGUAGUUUCACAAUCGUCUAUGAUUCCAUGGUAUCGAUCUGCGUUUACAUGUUUUCUUGUGGUUUACAUGUUUAGUGCGAAUGAUGGAAAGACGAAAGUGAAAGCUAUGUUUACAGCUUCACUAACGCAUUAAAUCAUUCCUGGGAAGAUCCAGAAUCUAAGUCUGAUUCAUCUCCUCAGUUUCACUGUUAAUGACAUCUCAAGCAAAUCGACAACGUAAGGAUCGUCUCUGCUGAUUUAACACAUUUUCCUCAGAUUAUUGAAAACUAACUGUUGUUAACGUCUGUGUGAUUUCCCUGCAGAUAUUCGAUGUCUGCUUUGUUGUUUUCUUCACUUAUUGGUUGUAGCUCAGAUAAGAAGAUAUGGGAUUAUUGCAUUGAUUUUUUAUAAGAGGUGGCUAUAUUAGAAUAGGUUGGCUUAUUUUUAAAUGUUAUCAUCAUUAUGAUUUUUGUCUCUGAUAUAUAUGUUUUUAUUUUGAUAUAUCAGCCACUAACCUACAACACAAUGCAAAAGCUGUGGAAUCUACGAGGAGAGACCACUUUUAUAUAUGAUUCAUUUGACGAAUGAGAGUUUUGUCCCUCUGAUUUCACAGCUGAGAGUAAAUACGUACACGUCAAGGACAACAAAUUCAAUGCUACUUUUCUCUGCCAUGGAUGCCACACAAGUUGGGGAUGAUGAAGCAUCCAUCCAUGAAGUUUUCCUGGACAGUUUGUCUUGAAGUUUUCGUUGCCACACUGAAGACUCUCCAACUAUUGAGAGAGAUCUUUCUGAAGGCUCUAUCGGUCCCCAUGGACUGCAACAUUUUCCAGGCUAAUCAAACAUGUAGGCACAGCUGAACGUGCAAACUCUAGCACGGCUCUAUUGUUGUUGUUUCUCUCUUCUACUUCAGAGCAAAAUGUAUACUCCUUUGGCGAGGGGGCUUUCGUUUCGGCAAGAUUGCUCAACUUUCUUCUUAGUAAAAAUGGUACACAGUAGGUAGAUUUGUUCACUUUCCUCUCUUUCUGAAUCUUGAAUAAAUCUGUCUUAAAUACUAAACUCAGUUGUUGCAUAGUUUGAGAGUGAGCUAAGUUUACUUCUGGCUAAUAUACAUGUUAAUGUUUGAAUCUCAUAUUCAAUGUUCAUCACUUCCUCUCAUAUAAAUAUGGAAACUUGGAGUAUCUAAACAUGGCCAUGGGAUUUCCACCAGUAUUUUAAAUGGUCUUAUUUGCUAUACCUUGGCUGGAUACUUAUCACAUUGGAAAGAGUGGUUGGAUGACCCUGACACCAAUACCAUGAUAUGACAAUAGGUUAAUUUAUUACCAAGAAAAACUCACAUUCUUACGGAGAAAUAUGUUUGUUUAGAGCAGUUUGAAAUUUAGAUGGCUCAAGGAUAUGAAUUUUACAUGCAUGCAUGUGUACAUUAGUGUGAAAGAGGGACAUGGUGAUGAACCAAAAAUGCCUUCAUUCUUGACUUUGAUACCACUCUAAAGUAAGCACGCACUAAUGUACUUUAAAGAUUUCAAUAAGCAAAUAUGUUUUUGACACGAUCCAACUUCUUAGGUGGUUACGCCCUUUCUGAGCCUUAACUCUAUUUUCACUGGAAUGUGUUUAUCUUUCUUUUUUGUGCAUGGAAUGUGUUUAUCAUAUAAAAUGAUUUAUGUUUAUAUUAGUUUCUGUCCCAAUGACAAAGUGUAUUCCAACUACGUUAGUAAACAUAAGAGUCACUGACUUGAUAUAGAUACAAAAAGGUCAAGAAACAGAACAAAUUAACCAUAUAAGAAGAAAGAUUUAGAAAUUGUUAAACUCCACUAACCAAAAGCUCUCCAGCUUCUCAAAUAUAAAAAGAGGUAUCAAUACGAUAUGUGAUUUAUUAACACAUGUUUUCCUUGACAAAACUUACCAGAAUGUAUAAAUAAAAAUGAUUUGUACUUUGCUAGCUUAAAACCUUAAUUACAUCAGUACCAAAUCAUAUCAUGAACCAACAGUCCACACCAAAACCGAAUAGUUUAGUAGCAAGAAAAUAAGUUAUAUAUUUACUUUAAAAAACUAAUGAGUCACAAAAAAUUGCUCUAAGAAAACGGUUGGAUCAGUUCUCAAACCUAGGUCAUUACUCAUUAUAUCGCUGCACUAAGUUUUCUUCUUGCUUAUACUAAUAUUAUAAAAUCAUCAUACAUAUUUAAAAUGUAUUCUGGAUAAUGAUAUUUUGGUAUAUUAUUUAAGUUAGUAAUAUAUGUACCUCUAACUUAAAAAAAUAGAGAGUAAAAUAAAUAGUUGUAUUCUAAUAAAACUUGGGCGUAAGGAGAUUUUGCUUUAUUAUAUUAUCUCUGUUUCGUAAAAAAAUAUAAGUGAAAAUAAUUUAAACAAAAUUCUAUUGGUUACUUAAAAUAAGAAAAGAGAAAUUAAAUGUAUAAAUCACAUUGGAAAUAUAGAAUGAUAUUCUAUUUGAAACAAAAUAAAAUCAUAAAAUGACAUUCUGUGUGAAACAAAAGAUUGUAUGUUAGUAAUUUAUGUGACUGACGUGACCAUAUUUGAUAUUUUUGUUUCAGACUCAUUUCAUUCUGCUAGAGAACACGAUGCAAAAAAGGCGAGAUAGUAGAUGUGGAGGAUGCAAAGUACUAGCUGAAUAAAGCAGGUUUGUUAGAAGAUGAAAUUACAGUUUUGAAGAGGCAGCUCAUGUCCCCAAUGUCUACCACAGUUACAUCAAAAGAUGGUGCAAGAAAAUUGGGGUUUGUGAGCCGGUGACAUGGAAUGUGGAAGGUACUGAAUUUCCUGAAGUGUGAUGGUGAAUUUGUUGAAGAAGACAAAGUAGUGAUUGCUCAUAAAGAAGUCCAUGAGGCUGUAUUUGGAGGAUGUGCCAGAAAGAGAGAAGAAGACGGUAAAGAAGCAAAAGAAGAUGUUGAAAAUGGUAGCCAAGGCUUUGGGUGCGCUAGAGAGGACAAAGAGACACAAACUAGCUCAGUGAGUAAAUCAUGUCGAAAAAUUACUUGUGAUAUAGUUUGGAAUUGUAAUAUGCAGAACAUGAUCAUAUUAUUAUCGUGAGAAAUUAUGUACUUGUGUUUUGUCUCAAUUCCAUCAUGUUAGUUUAUUGCGGUGUUC